UGGGGAAUUUUGCUCAAUGGACGAAAGUCUGAAGCAGCAACGCCGCGUGGAGGAUGAAGGAUUUCGGUUUGUAAACUCCUUUUAUAAGGGAAGAAAUUUGACGGUACCUUAUGAAUAAGCACCGGCUAACUCCGUGCCAGCAGCCGCGGUAAUACGGAGGGUGCAAGCGUUACUCGGAAUCACUGGGCGUAAAGGGAGCGUAGGCGUCUUAUUAAGUCUUGCGUGAAAGCCUACAGCUUAACUGUAGAACUGCGUGGGAAACUGAUAAGAUAGAGUAUGGAAGAGGUAGGUGGAAUUUCCAGUGUAGGGGUAAAAUCCGUAGAUAUUGGAAGGAAUACCAGAAGCGAAGGCGACCUGCUGGGACAUUACUGACGCUGAGGCUCGAAAGCGUGGGGAGCAA
rnacentral:rRNA from 1 species